rnacentral:rRNA from 1 species
AGGGUGCAAGCGUUGUCCGGAAUUAUUGGGCGUAAAGAGCUCGUAGGCGGUCUGUCGCGUCGGCUGUGAAAUCCCGAGGCUCAACCUCGGGUCUGCAGUCGAUACGGGCAAACUGGAGUGUUGCAGGGGAGACUGGAAUUCCUGGUGUAGCGGUGAAAUGCGCAGAUAUCAGGAGGAACACCGAUGGCGAAGGCAGGUCUCUGGGCCAUUACUGACACUGAGAAGCGAAAGCAUGGGGAGCGAACAGG